rnacentral:rRNA from 1 species
UACGGGGGGAGCAAGCGUUGUUCGGAUUUACUGGGCGUAAAGGGCGCGUAGGCGGCCAGCACAAGUCAGUUGUGAAAUCUCCGGGCUUAACUCGGAAAGGUCAACUGAUACUGUGCGGCUAGAGUGCAGAAGGGGCAACUGGAAUUCUCGGUGUAGCGGUGAAAUGCGUAGAUAUCGAGAGGAACACCCGUGGCUAAGGCGGCUCUCUAGUACGGUACUGACGCUGAGACGCGAAAGCGUGGGGAGCGAACAGG